CUCUUAAGCUGUUUUGAUUGUUGCUCAGAAAGCCGUGGUUUAAGGCUGGCUUUCUAGCAGUAAUCAAGACUAAAUUUGAG
rnacentral:pre_miRNA from 1 species